GCAUUCCGUUACAGGGAUCGUGUCAUUUGACGAUGUGUCUUGCGGAUUUCACCCAGGAGUGGUGGAAUUGACUGGAUCCUCCUCAGAGGACGAUAUAAAGAUGUGAUACUACAGAACUACAGCCAUCUGGUCUCUGUAGGGUAUCCCGUGACCAAACCAGAUGUGAUUGCCUCUUUGGAGGAAGGAGGACUUUGGAUCACAGAGAGAGAAGUCCCAAGUUUGAGUUGU
rnacentral:lncRNA from 1 species